AGCGAACGCUGGCGGCAGGCUUAACACAUGCAAGUCGAACGCCCCGCAAGGGGAGUGGCAGACGGGUGAGUAACACGUGGGAACGUACCCUUUGGUUCGGAAUAACUUGGGGAAACUCAAGCUAAUACCGGAUAAGCCCUUAUGGGGAAAGGUUUACUGCCGAAGGAUCGGCCCGCGUCUGAUUAGAUAGUUGGUGAGGUAAUGGCUCACCAAGGCGACGAUCAGUAGCUGGUCUGAGAGGAUGAUCAGCCACACUGGGACUGAGACACGGCCCAGACUCCUCCGGGAGGCAGCAGUGGGGAAUAGUGGACAAUGGGGGCAACCCUGAUCCAGCCAUGCCGCGUGAGUGAUGAAGGCCUUAGGGUGGUAAAGCUCUUUUACCCGGGACGAUAAUGACUGUACCGGGAGAAUAAGCCCCGGCUAACUUCGUGACAGCCGCCGCCGUAA
rnacentral:rRNA from 1 species